GUUCUUACCUAGCAGGGGAGACACCGUGUUCACGAAGUUGUUUCCCCAGAUUGGGGCUUAUCCAUUGAGCUCUGGAUGUGCUGACCUGUGAUUUCUGCAAAUGCAGGAAACUGGACUGCAGAAUUCAUGGUAGAGGGAAUGUGUUUGUGGUCUUCCCC
rnacentral:snRNA from 1 species